GCUCUGGGGGUGCCCAGGUGCCUCCUAGGGGUCCCCUGGAGGGAUACCCCUGGCGCUCUCUGUCUACCCAGGUACGCGCCGAGUGACCUCCAGGUCCCUGGGUUGCUGCCACCCCACCGAGAUGCAGUACCUCUCAGAGCGCUGUAAUAGCACCGUUGUCUCACUGGUCCCGCCCCCAUCCAACAACCCCCAGAAGGCAGAGGAGGGUGACCCUGGUGGAGAGGAGGUCGGGGGAAUACAACGGUGAGCAGAUAAGGCCCUGCUCUCCAGCUAUCACGGUGGUGGUAG